ACCUGGGUGGCUCAGUCAGUUGAGCGUCUGACUUCAGAUCAGGUCAUGAUCUUGCGAUCUGUGAGUUCGAGCCCCUCAUCGGGCU
rnacentral:tRNA from 1 species